UGUGUCCUGGAGAACCCUGAUUUUGCUCGUCUGAAACCUCAAGCCGAGGGACAUAUUGCUGUUCUUCUCCCUUAUCUAGGAAGGAUUCAGGAAUGUAAGGAUGGCUUGAUGGAUGAGAAGAGUUAUCAAGAUUUUAUCCAAAAAGAAAAUAAAGCUCAAGAAUGAAACCCUAUCUCCCGCUUCUCUCUGAGGAUAUGUUCGAUCAAUCUGUGGCCUGGUUGUGGGAGUACGGAUUGAAGUACAACUACGUGAACCUGGUCUACAUGAUCAUAAAUCGGUUUCCAAAUAUAGGGCUUAAAGUUGGGUUAAAGGAACGAGAAUGUUUGACGGUUAAAUUUCUCCUGUUACUGCUGAAACAACACGGCUGUACUGCAGAGAUGUCUUCACCCGAGUUUCUCACCUCGUUUGAAUCUGCUGUAGUUGCAUUUAUCAGUUCACAUCCAAGUAUACAUGAGGAGAUUGAGUUGGAUGACAUGAUAAAGUUAAAUACAAGUCUGAAAUUUCUUCACGUCCGCUCUAUUCUUAUCUCCUCAAAAUACAAUGCCAGUGAUGUAGCAAUGCUGAUGGAUAAACAUUUUCCUGAUAUAUCUCAACUUGAUGACACGGAUCCAUGGAUACAGAACUUUAAAAGAACGUUUCAUCUCAAGGAAAUUGAUGAAGAAACUAUGAAGACGACAAAUCUUUCAUAUAGUAUAGCAAAGAAACACUUUAAAUUCAAAAUAUCUAAUAUCGCAGAAGAAAGAAGAAAGUCGGAUAAAUCCGAAUCCGCCUUAAAGGUUUGGGAGAAAGUGGAAUCUACAGUCUGGAGAAUCUUGAAGUUUAUGGAGAGAAGAUCAGCACGUUCUGCCCUGGAGGGGAUAGAACCUGGGAUAUCUCCGUGGUUCGAUUUCCUUCUCUCUAUUAUUGGAGACAGGACGGAACCUGAGCUUGUAAAAGCUUUUAAAAAUCUUCUAAAUCUUAAAGUUGAAAGUGAAUUUUUCCUCUCUGGUUUUUACAGAGAGGGGGAGGCCUGACUCUGCACAUCCAACAGACCCAGUUUUUAUUUAUUAUUACUUUAAUUAUGGAAUUUCGAAAUGGUUUAAAGUCCCUUUAAGUAAGGGGAAAUAGUAAAAAGAAUUAAAUUAUACUUUGCAUUGAAUUUUGGAUGGUUAAUCAUGAACCAUGGAAUCAUUUUCUACACCUCAUGUAAUUUAAUUUUGUACCUGAUAGACGUGUAUCUCUCUGGAGAGCUUAUUUUGGAUUGAUUUCAG
rnacentral:misc_RNA from 1 species